GGAUAGUCUUAAAAAAUCUCAAGAGGGAAAUUUCAAGUGAUAACAGGAUUUUACUGCCUUACAGGUAACUGGCAGAAGCAAAACAGAUUGUCUUUGGAGGAACUCGGAGAGUUUCAAGGAAUCUCAAACUGUUCCAGCUGUGGCCAUUGGGAGCUCUUUCAGUUGGCUCCUGUGCUCCUUCAACAUAAACCCAUCAAUGGGGUGUGUGUGUGUUUACUGUUAUGCUGAGCACUUCCUUACUUCCUGGCACCAUAAGAUGCUCC
rnacentral:lncRNA from 1 species